AUUGAACGCUGGCGGCAGGCCUAACACAUGCAAGUCGAGCGGAACGGCGGACGGGUGCGUAAUGCCUACGAGUCUGCCUGGUAGUGGGGGAUAACGUCCGGAAACGGGCGCUAAUACCGCAUACUAUCAGAUUAGCCUAGGUCGGAUUAGCUAGUGGGGGGGGUAAAGGCCUACCAAGGCGAAGAUCCGUAACUGGUCUGAGAGGAUGAUCAGUCACACUGGAACGGUGAGUGGGUCCGACCUCCUACGGGAGGCAGCAGUGGGGAAUAUUGGACAAUGGCCGAAAGCCUGAUGCAGCCAUGCCGCGUGUGUGAAGAAGGUCUUCGGUUUGUAAAGCACUUUAAGUUGGGAGGCGUUACCAACAGAAUAAGCACCGGCUAACUUCGUGCCAGCCGCCGCGGUAAUUC
rnacentral:rRNA from 1 species